rnacentral:rRNA from 1 species
AUGCCAGUAAAAGACGCUGGCCGUGUUGCCUGUGUAUCUAAACGAUUUCUGCAUUCAUGGAGAUGUUAUUCAAAUCUCAAACUCAAUAAACAACCACUUGGGUUGACUGGCGACAAAUUUGAGGGAAGUGAAAUAUAUCACAUCAACAAAGUGGACCAAAUUUUGAAUAGUUAUUCUAAAAAUGGGAUGAAGGUGAAGUCACUUCAACUUGAUCUUUUCCAUUGUAGCAGUGUGAGUGCCUUCUAUCUGGACUGGUGGCUCAGAAUUGCUCUCAAAUCUGGUAUCAAAGAACUAAGCUUUUCGUUGUCUCGUUCCAUGAAAGAAGAAGAUUGUUUUCCAUGUUCGGUUUCAUUUGGCAAGCAAGCUGCGAGUUCGAUUGAGCACCUUAAUAUCUCCAAGUGCACUUUUCAACCUAUGGAAACACUUGGCUAUUUUGAAAGAUUGAAAAGUUUAGACCUAUUCCGUGUUUGCAUUACUGAGGAGGGAUUAUGGAAGUUGCUCUCAAAAUCUUUCAGCUUAGAACAGUUGGAGAUAUUUUUAUGCAAUGAGAUAAUUUGUUUGAAGAUACCAUGUACAGUGCAGAAACUUAAUUUUCUCAUAGUUACAAGUUGUCAAAAGAUUCAGGUGAUAGAUAUCAGCGCUCCGAAUCUCUUCACUUUUCACUAUGUUGGGUUCCCACCAGAGAUCUAUAUCGGAGAUUCUUCCCAACUUAUAGAAGUACAUUUGUCAUCUUUAUAUCCGUCCAGAAUCAUCUCUUAUAGUCGUGCCAAGCUUCCAUCUAUCGCUAGCAAUGUCGAGAGGCUUACCCUGCUGUCCAAUAGUGAGAAUGUGAACACUCCAAUGCUUCUUGACAAGCUCCUCCACCUCAAGAGUUUGAAGAUUGUACUUAACGGAUCAGGGCACUGUUCCCCUGUCUAUGACACCUUUUAUCUGGCUUCUUUUCUUGAUGCUUCUCCUGCCUUGGAAUCUUUCAUAUUGCGUGUAAGUCACUAUUCAUGUCUUCUUGAUAUCUAUGGGAAAACCACUGGGUGCGAUGCAUACUUAAGGGGGAAAUCGGGAUACCGGCAUGACCACCUCAAACGGGUGAUGAUCGCUGGCUUCCGUUCAGCCAAGAGCCUUAUUAAGCUUGUGAUCCACAUCCUUGAGAGCGCUCCUUCGCUGGAGUGUCUCACGCUGGAUACGACCCCUGGUGGCCAUGGUAGGAAGCUUGGUGAUACCAGCAUAUGCAGUGCUGCAAGAAUGUUGGGUAAAUGUUGCUCGAUGAGUGAGAGAGCUCUUGAAGAAGCUAAGAGAGAUGUUGCGGCUGCGAGUAGAUACAUCACUGGGAGACUUCCAUCAACUGUUAAAUUUGAGGUCCUUGAGCCCUGUAGGCAAUGCCAUACUGGCAACCAGUAG